GCUUAUCUCCUCUAGCUCAGUUGGUAGAGCACGAGACUCUUGAUCUCAGGGUCGUGGGGCUGAGCCCCAUGUUGGGCA